rnacentral:rRNA from 1 species
CGUUGUCGCGGUAGGUCAUUACCGAGUUUACACUCCCAAACCCCUGUGAACAUACCACUUGUUGCCUCGGCGGAUCAGCCCGCUCCCGGUAAAACGGGACGGCCCGCCAGAGGACCCCUAAACUCUGUUUCUAUAUGUAACUUCUGAGUAAAACCAUAAAUAAAUCAAAACUUUCAACAACGGAUCUCUUGGUUCUGGCAUCGAUGAAGAACGCAGCAAAAUGCGAUAAGUAAUGUGAAUUGCAGAAUUCAGUGAAUCAUCGAAUCUUUGAACGCACAUUGCGCCCGCCAGUAUUCUGGCGGGCAUGCCUGUUCGAGCGUCAUUUCAACCCUCAAGCACAGCUUGGUGUUGGGACUCGCGUUAAUUCGCGUUCCCCAAAUUGAUUGGCGGUCACGUCGAGCUUCCAUAGCGUAGUAGUAAAACCCUCGUUACUGGUAAUCGUCGCGGCCACGCCGUUAAACCCCAACUUCUGAAUGUUGACCUCGGAUCAGGUAGGAAUACCCGCUGAACUUAAGCAUAUCAUA